UCUCCAGAGAAUCAAAUUCAUUAUCUUGUGGCUUUGUCAUUGGCUGGCUGCUUGGUAGUUUGCAUAGUUAUUACACUUGUCUCAACGUGGAACUUGACAAAGGUGGAAAUUCAGUUGUGCAACAUGUUAUCUCCUGAGGGGCCGAAAAUGUCACUUGGUUCCUAUAACUGGGGACUCGUAUGCAUCGUCUUCACAUCAUUAAUUUACUUCGGGUAUUUUUUGCCAUGCUCAUAGACAAUUUCUUGUGCCCCAUUUCUGCGAUGUGGUCGUAUUUUCAUAAAAUAUGUAACCUAGUCUAGAGUUCAAUGCUACUUGAAGGAAGGAAAAAUAAGCAAGACUAUUUUGCAGAUUGAAAGACUUAAACAAGAUGGUGUGACUUAUUCUAAUCUUGGAGGGAAACAUUUAUACAGUAAACUGGUUUGCAUUCUAGAAAGUCUCAUUUGUUGGAUUUUUAGUAAAAAGAUUGGUUCGAUGGCGUAAACUGAAGAGGUUUGAUAGCUGAAAACCAUCAUUUCCCACAUAGAGCAUGUGGCAUUCUUUGUGUUUUUAUUUUCUUCUUCUUUUCUUGUGCAAUUGCUUGUAAUCUCCUUUUUUUCUUUUUGUCAUUUUUUGGGAACAAUGUAUCAGAUUCAUUCAUUUGAUUCUUUUGUA